rnacentral:lncRNA from 1 species
UAAAUUUCUGGAUCCAUAUGUUGAAUUCAUAUUGAAAAUAUAUUCAAUAAAUAGAAAAUUGAAAAUGACCUUUGGGCAGCAUUUGCCGCAAUUAGAGCAGCGAAUGAAUUUGGUGUGGCCGCGUCCAUGUUUGUUACGACCUCCGUUUCUUCUCUUGAAAGUCUGCAAGAAAAAAUGAGUGAUUACACUUCAGACGAAUAAAUUUUGUGUGGCCACGUCCAUGUUUGUUACGACCUCCGUUUCUUCUCUUGAAAGUCUGCAAAAAAAAUUGAGAGAUUAUACUUCAGUGGAUUGCUAAAAGAAAAAUUAAAUUGGAAAAAGAAAAGUGAAGAAUUUU